rnacentral:rRNA from 1 species
CAAUAGCGUAUAUUAAAGUUGUUGCAGUUAGAACGCUCGUAGUCGGAUUUCGGGGCGGGCCGACCGGUCUGCCGAUGGGUACGCACUGGUCGGCGCGUCCUUCCUUCCGGAGACCGUGCCUACUCUUAACUGAGCGGGGGCGGGAGACGGAUCGUUUACUUUGAAAAAAUCAGAGUGUUUCAAGCAGGCAGCUCGCUCUUGCAUGGAUUAGCAUGGGAUAAUGAAAUAGGACUUUGGUGCUAUUUUGUUGGUUUCGAACACCGAAGUAAUGAUUAAAAGGGACAGUCAGGGGCACUCGUAUUCCGCCGAGAGAGGUGAAAUUCUCAGACCAGCGGAAGACGAACUACUGCGAAAGCAUUUGCCAGGGAUGUUUUCACUGA